GACAUCAGCAGGAAAUUAGUAUCAGGCUACCCAGUCCUGAAGAUUCAGUUUUCACUUAAACAACCAGCAAGUCUUGAAGUCUCUUCCCAAGCAAAUGGGAGCUUCUUUGGACCUUGGAGCACACAGAGGAUUCUACUUUCUUUAAAACUUUGUUUUCAGGCAAUUUCCCUGAGAACCGUUUACUUCCAGAAGAUUGGUGGAGCUUGAUCUGAAGGCUGGCCAUGAAAUCUCAAGGUCAACAUUGGUGUUCCAGUUCAGAUAAAAACUGUAAAGUGAGCUUUCGUGAGAAGCUUCUGAUUAUUGAUUCAAACCUGGGGGUCCAAGAUGUGGAGAACCUCAAGUUUCUCUGCAUAGGAUUGGUCCCCAACAAGAAGCUGGAGAAGUCCAGCUCAGCCUCGGAUGUUUUUGAACAUCUCUUGGCAGAGGAUCUGCUGAGUGAGGACGACCCUUUCUUCCUGGCAGAACUCCUCUAUAUCAUACGGCAGAAGAAGCUGCUGCAGCACCUCAACUAUACCAAAGAGGAAGUGGAGCGACUGCUGCCCACCCGACAACGGGUUUCUCUGUUUAGAAACCUGCUCUACGAACUGUCAGAAGGCAUUGACUCAGAGAACUUAAAGGACAUGAUCUUCCUUCUGAAAGACUCGCUUCCCAAAACUGAAAUGACCUCCCUAAGUUUCCUGGCAUUUCUAGAGAAACAAGGUAAAAUAGAUGAAGAUAAUCUGACAUGCCUGGAGGACCUCUGCACAACAGUUGUACCUAAACUUUUGAGAAACAUAGAGAAAUACAAAAGAGAGAAAGCUGUCCAGAUAGUGACACCUCCUGUAGACAAGGAAGCCGAGUCGUAUCAAGGAGAGGAAGAACUAGUUUCCCAAACAGACGUUAAGACAUUCUUGGAAGCCUUACCGCAGGAGUCCUGGCAAAAUAAGCAUGCAGGUAGUAAUGAGGGCAACUGUGUACAGGAUGAAUCGGAACCACAGAGGCCUCUGUGUCAUUGUCAACAACCACAGCUUUACCUCCCUGAAGGACAGACAAGGAACCCAUAAAGAUGCUGGAUGAUAUCAUGUUUCUGAGCCUCUUAUAUAUCCCUGGGGAGUCACCAGUCUGCUAAAGAGUGGCAAGAAUCUUUGACUAUUCACAAUUCUGAAUAGAGGAGAGCAUGUACUGGGGGAGAGCCUGCUGGAUUGGCACGAGACAACCUGGGCGUGAGCUCCAGCUCCACCACUAACUAGAGAUCCUGAGUCAUGUGUUCCAGUGGCUUGGGUUCACAGUGCAUAUACACAAUAAUGUGACGAAAGUGGAAAUGGAGGAGGUCCUGCAGAGGCAGAAGUGCAAUCCAGCCCAUGCCGACGGGGACUGCUUCGUGUUCUGUAUUCUGACCCAUGGGAGAUUUGGAGCUGUCUACUCUUCAGAUGAGGCCCUCAUUCCCAUUCGGGAGAUCAUGUCUCACUUCACAGCCCUGCAGUGCCCUAGACUGGCUGAAAAACCUAAACUCUUUUUCAUCCAGGCCUGCCAAGGUGAAGAGAUACAGCCUUCCGUAUCCAUCGAAGCAGAUGCUCUGAACCCUGAGAAGGCACCCACUUCCCUGCAGGACAGUAUUCCUGCCGAGGCUGACUUCCUACUUGGUCUGGCCACUGUCCCAGGCUAUGUAUCCUUUCGGCAUGUGGAGGAAGGCAGCUGGUAUAUUCAGUCUCUGUGUAAUCAUCUGAAGAAAUUGGUCCCAAGACAUGAAGACAUCUUAUCCAUCCUCACUGCUGUCAACGAUGAUGUGAGUCGAAGAGUGGACAAACAGGGAACAAAGAAACAGAUGCCCCAGCCUGCUUUCACACUAAGGAAAAAACUAGUAUUCCCUGUGCCCCUGGAUGCACUUUCAUUAUAACAGAGAGUUUUUGUUGGUUCUUAGACCUCAAACGAAUCAUUGGCUAUAACCUCCAGCCUCCUGCACAGCACAGGAAUCGGUGGUCUCCACCUGUCAUUCUAGAAACAGGAAACACCAUGUUUUCUGACACAGUCAAUUCUGAUUUUCUUUUUCUUUUGACAAGUCUAAAUGUUAGAAAACUUUCUUUUUUUUGGAGAUAGUCUCAUUCUGUCACCCAGACUGGAGUGCAGGGGGGCAAUCACGGCUCACUGUAGUCUCGACCUCCCAGGCUCAAGCUAUCCUCCCACCUCAGCUUCCCAAGUAGCUGGGACCACAGGUGUGUACCACCAUGCCUGGAUUUUUUUUAUUCUUUAUUUUUUGUAGAGAUGGAGGGAUCUCACUUUGUUGCACAGGCUGGUUUCAAACUCCUAGGCCCAAGUGAUCCUCCCACCUCUGUCCCCAAAAUACUGGGAUUAUAGGCACGAGCCACCACACCUGGCCAGAAAACUUUCAUUAUUGAAGACUUGGAUUGUAGCCUUGGUUUUGGAUGUCUACUCUGAAGACAGAGUAAUUGGCUUUGGUUUGCGCAGGUACUUUUUCUUUGAGACAGAGUCGCUCCGUCACCUGGGCUGGAGUGCAGUGGUGGGAUCACUGUUCACUGCAGCCUUGACCUCCCAGGUUCAAGCGAUCCUCCCACCUCAGCCUCCCAAGUAGCUGAGACUACAGGUGUGUGUCCAUGCACAGCUAACUUUUUAUUUUUUUUGUGGAGAUGGGGUUUCACUAUGUUGCCUAAGCUGGUCUCAAACUCCUGGGCUCAAGCGAUCCUCCCACCUCAGCUUCUCAAAGUUCUGGGACUACAGGCAUGAAAUACUGUGCCUGGCCUGGGGACCAGGUGCAUUUUAAGGUUCCUUGGUGUUCAAAAACCACGUUCUUAGCCUAGAUUGAGCUUAGAUUGCCUCUCUAGACAACUACCCCUUAGUUAUAAUUCUGUGUCCCCUCUGCAUGCCCUUGAACAUUGGACAGUGAGGUCACAGUCCACCCACCCUCUCUCUGAUCUCCCCCUUCCUAAGACUUCUCUUCUGCACAUCUAGUGAGGUGAAAAUUUGGUCUAUGCCAGGCCCAUUUCCUGCUUUUGUGUAAGGAAGGUGCUCACAUAGGAAGUUUUUAUUUGGUUAGAGACAGGUUUCCCUGUAGGAAGAUGAUGGCUCAUUUACACUCAGCUGCUCUGCAAGCAGAAACUUUACAACCUGAUGUCAUAUUCCAUUUUGGACUGGGUGCGGUGACUCAUGCCUGUAAUCCCAGUACUUUGGGAAGCCAAGGCAGGCAGAUCACUUGAGGUCAGGAGUUCGAGACCAGCCUGGCCAAUACGGCAAAACCUCGUCAUUACUAAAAACACAAAAAUUAGCCAGGUGUGGCGACAAGCACCUGUAAUCCCAGCUACUUGGGAGGCUGAGACAGGAGAAUCUCUUGAAUCCAGGAGGCAGAGGCUGUGGUGAGCCAAGAUCACACAACUGCACUCCAGCUUGGGCAACAGGGCGAGACCUUGUUUAAAAAAAAAAAAAUUCAAUAUUGGGGUUGGAACAUUUCAGGUGCCAUUGACAGAACACCCAAUUCAAAUUGACUGAAGCAAAGAAGGGAAUUUAUUGCCUCUUUCACAUUGAAACCCAGGAGUGGAUAGCACUGGCUUCAGGCAAAGCUUGAAUCAGGACUCAAUCUACAGGCCAGCACCUUUCUCUUGGCCGGAUGUCCUCAGGGCUGGCAGAUGCAGUAGACUGCAGUGGACAGUCCCCACCUUGUUACUGCUACUACACUUUGCUCCUCUGGCCCAAGGGAUGAGGAGAGAGGCUGUGUCAGAGACUGAAGCUGUUCUCAGGAUCACUGGGCUCUUCUUGGCAGAGGGGAUGUCUGGCUCGCCUGAAGGGAGUGGCUCUGUAAGGACGCCUUGAUGCUUUCUUCAUUAAGAUUUUGAGUAUUUUUACUUACUUGAGCUUUUUUUUUUUUUUUUUUUUUUUUCAAUUUCUAGAGGAACUUUUUCUCUGUUAAUUCCUGGAACUGUAUUUUGAAUCCUUAAAGGUGAGCCCUCAUAGGGAGAUCCAAAGUCCUGUGGUUAACGCCUUCAUUUAUAGAUGAGGCAGCUGAGGCCUGGGGAUGUAAACAACCUGCUCACAGUCCUCAUUUACUGGAUUUGACUUCAGCCAGGUGAACUGGAAUGCCUUGGGGCGUGGAAGGGCAUUAGGAGUGUUUCAUUUGAUAUGUGAAUGCUCAUAAAAAAAUGUCAAGGAAUGAAGAACAACAACUCUCAGUGGUGCCUGCAUUUAUAAUUAUUUAUGUGAAAGUCAAAUUCAUGUACAGUAAAUUUGUUAUAAGAAUAUUCACAAGAA